CUGACUGCUCUGAACACCAGUUCUGGGUGAGUCUCUGGGGACCCAGACUCAUACGGGGAGAAACUGGACUGUCUGGCAGCAGGCGGA
rfam:Myotis lucifugus cont2.32885, whole genome shotgun sequence.